rnacentral:rRNA from 1 species
CUCGCAUAUGUCUGGGAGCUGCCUGAUGGAGGGGGAUAACUACUGGAACGGUAGCUAAUACCGCAUAACGUCGCAAGACCAAAGAGGGGGACCUUCGGGCCUCUUGCCAUCGGAUGUGCCCAGAUGGGAUUAGCUAGUAGGUGGGGUAACGGCUCACCUAGGCGACGAUCCCUAGCUGGUCUGAGAGGAUGACCAGCCACACUGGAACUGAGACACGGUCCAGACUCCUACGGGAGGCAGCAGUGGGGAAUAUUGCACAAUGGGCGCAAGCCUGAUGCAGCCAUGCCGCGUGUAUGAAGAAGGCCUUCGGGUUGUAAAGUACUUUCAGCGGGGAGGAAGGGAGUAAAGUUAAUACCUUUGCUCAUUGACGUUACCCGCAGAAGAAGCACCGGCUAACUCCGUGCCAGCAGCCGCGGUAAUACGGAGGGUGCAAGCGUUAAUCGGAAUUACUGGGCGUAAAGCGCACGCAGGCGGUUUGUUAAGUCAGAUGUGAUCCCCCCGGGCUCAA